AGACGUGAGGUCAAUCUGGAUGUGAUCUCUCACUCCAGCCAUCACCAGAGUUUAUCUGGCUGAUCUGGCUGGUUAGGAAGCCAUUCUCUUCUCUCUUAAACACUCCCCAUGUGCCCUUUCAUAAGUUGCAGUCUCAGUCAGAGAAGAGGACCACUGCUGAUUGUUGGUGAUGUGUGUGCUACUAAGCUCCCUUGUUUGCCUUUCCUCACAGGCUCUCACAGGUUCUAAAAGUCAUCUCUAAGCCCGUCUAAUGCUAUGACGUGUUG
rnacentral:sRNA from 1 species